rnacentral:lncRNA from 1 species
ACCUUUACCUUAUGUAGAAAAUAACUUUUCGUUUUGUAGUAAAUACCACCGCAUUAAGCUUACUAGCUAAUGAAGUGGCUUUUACAGCCAUUUGUAAAACAUUUUUACUUGUUUUUUAUAAGGAGGAUUUCAAUAUUGGUUUGUCCUUAAAAAAGGAUAUCAACAGAGGCACUAUAAAAACACAUGUCUUGAUUGCAGCGUUCAAUAAUUUGUGCCUCUGCUUUAUUUUUCUUAAGAAUUUUACCCGUUAUUUUUGUCAAAAAUUUCGUGAGGAUAUUCGUGAAGAGGCGAAAAGAAUCAUACAACAUUUUUUGCAGUAAUGAUAAUUGCUCAUGCCUCUAAAAAGUAAAAUAUGAUCGGAUAUCUGCUGUAUAAAAAACUGUGAUACAUAUCGAUAUUGAAACUGCAGGAAUUUGUAUACUGUUUUUUUUUUUACAUUGGCAACUUUCUGUCUCACCAUAUUGAAAUGGAAGAAUACUCAAUGUCAUUCCUUGAACAUUUCCUGAUUUAGCCUCUGUGUGUGAACAUUAUUCUGUGAAAAUUUCAAGCCAAAGCAUUCGUUUGUUCUCAUUUGAUGAAAUAAAAUGGGAGUGCAGAAUUUGAAACACAACCGCAAAAAAGAUAUGCGUUCCUUCAGUUUUACCUUUGACAUGUAUUUUUUAUAGUUUUGCCAUCAAAGUGGAACUUUACCUGACCUGAAAAGUAAAAUAUGCAGUUGAAGAGAGGCAAAGAAUUAUAUUUUUAUUUCCAAUGAGCCAGACAAUUUAAUUAUAAAAUAAAUGAUUGAGCCCACAGAGGCCAGCAAAGAGAUUUAUCUUCCAUUUUAUUUUCUCAGCUGAGCCUGUCCUGGACUGUGCAAUUUGCAAUGAAAUUAUGGAGAAAUUCAGCCCAACAUCCAAGGCUCCAAAAACUUAGAAGAAAUCAAAGAUCUCAUAAUGCGAGCAUGCUUUCAAUGGUACCCUCGCAUUUCUCUCAGUGUCUAGAAUUCCUACCCAAAUAUGGGCCGCAUUUACGGGACUCUAUUAUUGCUGAUUCAACUGUACCUCCAGCUCAGAUUUGCCUUAACACAAAAACACUCAUUUGCUCACCAAAUUCCAAAGAGACGCAAUCAUCGCCCUAUCAGUCGGCUGCUGAUGUAGAAAAUCUGCCUAAGAAAUUGCAUCCACUCGGCACCGGUUCCCUCAUGCGAGCAAUAGCCCUACAAGUUUGUGAGCAUGUAGUCGAGAAGUUUCUUGGUCAACUGGAGAAUGUGUGUACAACAUUUUUGGACC